rnacentral:rRNA from 1 species
AGUGAACGCUGGCGGCGUGCCUAAUACAUGCAAGUCGAACGGAGUGGCGCACGGGUGAGUAAUAUAUAGCUAAUCUGCCCCUUGCUGGAGGACAACAGUUAGAAAUGACUGAUAAUACUCCAUAGCAAGGGAUGAGACUAUAUCGUAUCAGCUAGUCGGUGGGGUAACGGCCUACCGAGGCUAUGACGCGUAACUGGUCUGAGAGGAUGAACAGUAACAUUUGAACUGAGACACGGGUCAAAAUCCUACGGGAGGGAGCAGUAGGGAAUAGUGCGCAAGGGGGGAAUACCUGACGCAGCAACGCCGCGUGGAGGAUGACACUUUGCGGAGAGUAAACUCCUUUUGUUAGGGAAGCGGUACCUAACGAAUAAGCACCGGCUAACUCCGUGCCAGCCGCCGCGGUAAUUC